rnacentral:rRNA from 1 species
CCUGCCCUUCAGAGGGGGACAACAGUUGGAAACGACUGCUAAUACCGCAUACGAUCUAAUCUCGGCAUCGAGGAUAGAUGAAAGGUGGCCUCUACAUGUAAGCUAUCACUGAAGGAGGGGAUUGCGUCUGAUUAGCUAGUUGGAGGGGUAACGGCCCACCAAGGCGACGAUCAGUAGCCGACCUGAGAGGGUGACCGGCCACAUUGGGACUGAGACACGGCCCAA